rnacentral:rRNA from 1 species
CAGCCGUAAACUAUGCGCGUUAGGUGUAUCGGUGACCACGAGUCACCGAGGUGCCGAAGGGAAACCGUGAAACGUGCCGCCUGGGAAGUACGGUCGCAAGGCUGAAACUUAAAGGAAUUGGCGGGGGGAGCACAACAACGAGUGGAGCCUGCGGUUUAAUUGGACUCAACGCCGGACAACUCACCGGGAACGACAGCAAUAUGUAGGCCAGGCUGAAGACCUUGCCUGAAUCGCUGAGAGGAGGUGCAUGGCGUAGACGUCU